CGACGUUUCGCGAGUUACCUGGCAACACUACCAACUGAACGAAACAACCUCCAUUCAAACCAGUAAAAACCUGUUUGUCACUUUAUGGCGUGUUGAAUUUAAUUAUGUAAAUUAAUAUUCGAAUCAGUGCUCAUCAAGGGGAGCUGAGUCACCAAAGAAAGCUAAGUGGUGUUUUAUAUCUCUAUGAUAAAAGAGGAGUUAUUUUCCCAAAACGUUCUCGUACAUUUAACCUAAAACUAACUUUUCAUAAUUGAAUAUUAUUGCUAUGCAUUAUUACAAAGUUUACGAUGAUGGUGUUUCCGUUAUGGAUGAUAUAUUGAAAUGAGUGUGGCAGAGAGUUGUUACACGUUUAUGCAUAUAAAGAUCAUGUAGUUAACAUGAUUGCAUCACAAAAUGGCGCAUGUUGAAUGCGGGAAAGAGCCAACGUGGCUGUAAGUCAGCGCGGCCCCAACGAGUUUGGGACCAGGCAUCGGGUAGCCCUGAUGCUGGUAUGACCGCCACCGGGGGCUGGGGUGCGGUCCAGCCUUAGUAAUUGUGCUAUCUAUUUAAUAUGAGGAAAGUUAUGAGUUUGGCUGGGGUUGGAGUCGCGCCCCAGGCCUUGGUAAACGCCAGUGAGUUUGUGAGACCUGGCCGCUGACACCUGAAGGCCAUGGGUUCACGCAUCCUCUGGGAGGACCCCCAAGAUGGUGAUCACUGUAAGGGCCCUCGGGCAUGUGUACAGACUAGCGCUACUCUGAGAGGGUUGACGAACCUUCAUACACAUUUUGGGUCUAAUAAUGAUAUUUGUCAAGCGUUGGCCACUAGUGUGGAGCGUUGUGACACCAUGUAAAUGUAUAGCUUUAAGUUUGUAUAUUGUGUCUAAGAAAAUGUAUGAUUUGAUAAAGAUGGAUUUGGUAAUGUGCCAGAUGAAAGAACUACCUGAUUUCCCUAUGGGUUCUUCAUGUGUUGGUUAAAUUCAUGUUUAUGAAAGUAAUUACUGAUGUGAUAAUGUGGUUACCACAGAGAGGUUCUGUGGUAUAUGAAAGAUAAAAGUGGCUUUGAUAAUGUGGUUACCACGGAGAGGUUCUGUGGUUUAUGAAACAUCUAUGAUUUACCAAAAGGUGGCUUUGAUAAUGUGUGUACUACAGAGGUGUUCUGUGGUUUAUGAAAUAUCUCUAAUAAUCUGUAAUGUGUUGAUCUAUGUGUGAUGUUAAUGUACUUGCCAUAGUUGUGUUUAUGAGUGGUGUUGAUACUUACAAUGUUUAUGAUGAUGUUGUACUGAUUUGAUCUGAUGUUGUAUAUGUGAUAUACCAUCUGCAUUUAUUCUCUAUAUUUGAGAAGUGUACUUUGUAAGAGAAUGGUUACAAAGCUUUCAUAUUGAGUUUGACUAUCAUAUGUGGAAUUUGUAUCCUGAAUAUGCUGAAUUGAGUUGAUAUAUCUCAAUGCAUUAGUUGAGAUAAUAGCAACUAUAAUGAAAGACAAAUGUUGUUAGAAAUUGACUUUGUUUACUGAUUUACUGCAUUAUUUGUGUAGUACUUUGGUAUGAAUAUUGAUGCACCAUAAUGGUGGCUGGAAAGUAUCUUUGAGAUACUUUACAUAUGUAUUUAAGUACUACAUUUAUGUAGUUCAAAGGGAACUAACAUGAUGAUGGUCAUGAUAAUGAUGAUGAUGAUAAAUAGUUGGAACUGUAAUAACUUCAAUAAGCAUCUUGGAAUUAAUGAUUUCAGUGAGAUUUGAGAACCUAUAAUGGAAAGAAUAUAACAUGAAAUUAACCUUGUAAUAAUACUUGCAUAGAACUAAAUGUGUGAUAUUAUAUAGAGAUAAUUUAGUGACUUUGUAAGUCAUAGUUACCCCUUUUUUAAUACAGAUCUUGAGAUGCCAGUCAUGCUGACCAGUGUGGAGGCAACGAGGACAGCGGUUAGAGAAAGGCUCUAACAGUCAUUCCAUACAUGCAGUGUAGCCACUGCUAACCAAAGAUCUUGAGAUGCCAGUCAUGCUGACCAGUGUGGAGGCAACGAGGACAGCGGUUAGAGAAAGGCUCUAACAGUCAUUCCAUACAUGCAGUGUAGCCACUGCUAACCAAAG